rnacentral:lncRNA from 1 species
CUCCUGCGGCAAAUGGAGGUUCCCAGGCUAGGGGUCGAAUCAGAGCUGUAGCUGCCGGCCUACGUCACAGCUCAGAGCAACGCCGUAUCUGAGCCUCGUCUGCAACCCACACCACAGCUCACAGCAACGCCGGGUCCUUAACCCACUGAGAGAGGCCAGGGAUUGAACCCACAACCUUAUGGUUCCUAGUCAGAUUCACGGGAGUGAGGAUAUGAACUGAUGGGUGUGAUGCUAAAAGGGGGAGCAAAGGGGACAUCUCUGUGGUGACGUGAUCAUUCUGCAUCUGGAUUUUGGUGGUGGCCACACAUAUCUACACACGUGGCAAAGGGCCACAGACCUGUGUACACACAUCGUGUCAAUCAGUUUCCGAAUAAGUGCAGGCACAUCUAAAGAACUACCCAGACUACCUAGAACGCAGCAGAGAACAGCAAAAAGUGGAAACUAUGAAAAAGAGAUGAUAAGACAUAGAGGUCAGAGUGAGAGGGUCUAAUGCGAUCUAAUUCGUGUUGCAGAAGGAGAAAUGGGGGAGAGGUAAAAUUAGAAGUGAUCAUAGCUGCACAGGUGAAAACCUUCCAGAAUUUAGAAAAGACAUAACUGCUGUGAUGUGGGAAACACAACAAUUCUUGAGUGGGAUAAAUAAACAGAAAUCCACAAUCUGAAAUACUGUAGCAAAACUGCAAAAAAAAAGAAAGCGGGGGGGGGGGGGAGAGAAAGAAAGAAAAAGAGAAGAUCUUUAAAAGGUGGGACCUAUGGCCGUCUGGAAGCUAAACUUAUUCAACCUUGGAUGUCCUGAAGGCGUGACAUCUAUUUCAGAAAACUACUGAAGGGACCAUGAGUCUACCAGGCCUGAGAUGAAAGACUGGGCUCAGAAAGAGGAAGAUUUGGGGGUUUAUAAUUUUAUUUUAUGGCCUUUGGUCUGGCCUUUAAUAGUCAGUGACUGUGAGUUCUCUGGAUAGAAACUCAUAAGGUCAAAUACAUGUAACUUUUUUUUUUUCUUUUCUUUUGACAGCUGCACCUGCGGCAUAUGGAAGUUCCCAGGCCAGGGGGCAAAUCAGAGCUGCAGCUACAGGCCUACGCCACAGCCACAGCAACACCGGAUCCCAGCUGCAUCUGCGACCUACACCAGAGCUUGCAGUGAAGCCAGACCCUUAACCCACUGAGCGAGGUCAGGGAUGGAACCCACACCCUCACAGAGACAAUGUCAGGUCCUUAACCCGCUGAUCUACCACAGGAACUCCCAAAUAUAUUUAACUUUGAAUUUUAAUUUUUUCCUUAUAAUUUGAUAAUAGGAUGAGAUUCACAUUAUUUAAAUUUGGGGCAUUUUCAUGUUACUGACAUUGAAUUACCAGACUCUUUUGAGGCUAUUAAUUCAUGUCACCGUGUAAUCUCUAAUGAGCAAUACUGAGCGGACUCAGAGUUAAUUUAACUAUUGUACUCACAGCGCUAAUCCAUCUUCGUCACUGGGGGAUGGAUAUCAAAACUGCCAAACACUGGUGCCAAGGAGAAUACCCAAAGGAAACAGUGGGUGUCGCAGGGGGUGUGGGCCUUGUGAGUAGCACUUCUAUCCUGAUAACUGUCUAAUCGGCCCUUUGGGGGGAACCCCCCACCCCACCCGGGGAAGAGCUCAUAAAGCUGAAGAACCAAGGGGGCCGGGAGGUUGUUCCUCUCGUGUUUCUGCGAGGGGACCGGCACACAGGCUCCUUCUGACCCCUUCAUUCACCCUCCAGCCUCCCUGGGAGAAGUCCUUUCUGGGGUAGGAGGGUCUCUUCUCCUGGGCAGGUUUAGUGGAAGGAGCGGAAGAGGCCUGGCCCGGCCCCUCCUGGGCUUUCCUCAUUAAACGACCUUUCCUGGGGUGUCCACUCUCUCUGUUCCUGGGCCCAUCUCUGUGCCUCCCGGUGCUGAGCUCGGCGUCAGAGGAGAGGGGUAUGUGUACUGCGGAGGUAGCUAUUAGGAAGCCUAUUGGGACAGCUUCCGAUUCAGCUGUUGUCAAAAACACAGCUGCAAUUUCUGUCGCCAUCCGCCUUUGAUCACUGAGUUCUCAGUCAGUUCUAGACGCAGGAGUGGCCUUUUUUCAUUGGCCCCAUAAUGUCCUGACAAUGGCACCCAUCAGAUCUGGUCAGCAGCUCUAGAGCCAGUGGCCAGCUCCCCUCUCUUCUGUCCUGCAAAAUCUCAAGGCAGUUUCUUCGGGUUACCAAUGCUACAGGGGGCCUGUCCGGACAGUUCCUCCUUCAACCUGACUUUGCUGCUGCUCCAACCUCUAGUUCCCAUUGGCCUGAGUCAAGGAGUGUCAUUUUUUUCUUUUUUCUUUUUUUUUUUAAAUGAUUUUCAUUUUCUCCAUCAUAGUUGGUAUACAGUAUUCUGUCAAUUUCUACUGUACGGCAAAGUGACGCAGUCACACCUACACACAUACAUUCUUUUCCUCACUUUAUCCUCGACCAUAUUCCAUCAUAAGUGACUAAGGUUCCCUGUGCUAUACAACACGAUCUCAUUGCUUAUCCACCCCAAAUGUGAUAGUUUGCAUCUAUUAACCCCAGACCCCUAGUCCAUCCCCCUGCCCCUUGGCAACCACAUGUCUGUUCCGCAUGUCCACGAGUUUGUCUUUUUUUUUUUUCCUACUGUCUAUUGGGCUGAUACAUUUUUAGAAUUUAACACAGCAGAUAUAGAGAAAGAG